CAGUAGCCGCGGUAAUACGAAGGGUGCAAGCGUUAAUCGGAAUUACUGGGCGUAAAGCGUGCGUAGGCGGUGAGUUAAGUCUGCUGUGAAAUCCCCGGGCUCAACCUGGGAAUGGCAGUGGAUACUGGCUCGCUAGAGUGUGUCAGAGGAUGGUGGAAUUCCCGGUGUAGCGGUGAAAUGCGUAGAGAUCGGGAGGAACAUCAGUGGCGAAGGCGGCCAUCUGGGACAACACUGACGCUGAGGCACGAAAGCGUGGGGAGCAGACAGGAUUAGAUACCCCUGUAGUCCCUGUCUCUUAUAA
rnacentral:rRNA from 1 species